CUUCCAAGGUGCUCAAAUUUUCUGCUAUAUUCAAAAGAAGUAUCUGUAUGUGGACAAAUGCCAUGGAUGCUGUUUGCAGUGUGCAAACAGAAGACAAAGGCAGAAACUUUUUUGUUUGGUUAGGACCAGUGCUAAAUGCUUUUGCAACUGUUUGACUUGGGACUUGCUAAGUAUUCGUCUGCAGAUGUAGAAAGCUAUUAGUGAAAAAAUAUUUGUAUAAAACUCCUCGUGAGUCCCACUGGGCUAUGUGAAGUCCCAGCUUGCUAGUUGUCAAACGACGUGUGCUUACAACCCUGAGGUGCCAAUUUAAACGUAGCUUUCUUUCCCCCAGGUUUGAGCAACACCUAGAGUUUGUAGCAUCCUGUGGGUGAAAAACAGAUUCUCAGGGGAUGCAUCGUGUUGGAGCUGGAAAGGAGCGCUUUCCAUGUCGCCAAUCUCUGAGUGAGCUGCUCUGGUAUAAGGGCUUUGUGGAUCUUGGGAGGGGUACAGAAGUGGCAAUUCCAGUUCAAUGAAGGACCCUACACUGUUGAUGAAAUAUCAUUAUUCCUCUUCGCAUCUUUCCAGUCAUUUUCAUCACGACUUGUACUGAUUUCGUGCCUGGAUGGGAUUGAAAGCUGUAUUCUCUCCACCACUGUGACCAAAACAUUUCUCCAUAAGCUGAUCAAGUUGAUGUGCUGGCAGGGGAAUAAAGGAAACUUCAGAUCUGAGCAGCUGGAAGGGGCCGUCAAAAAGUCACUGCUGUCAACUACCCAUGGAAAAAUGCCCACUCCCAUCAGAGCAUCCCCACCGCAGCUGGUCAGAGCCAGCUGACACUGAAGACAUCGUCUCCAAAAAGGAUGGUUCAAGAAGGAAGCUGAGGAGCUCAGACAUCAAGAAAAGCCACCAUGGGUGAUUUUAUUUGUUCUGACGUGUCAAAAUCCAGUAAGUCUUUUUGUUCAAUUUUAAGCAGAAACGUCGUAGAUGUUGACUGAGUAACUUUGCAGACAAACUUGCAUCUUCACUGAACCAGAAGGUUUCUCUUAUUCACACCAAUAUGGACACACCAGGAACACUGUAAGAAACUGCAUUUAGGAGAAGGUUCCAUUGAGCAAACUCAAUGUGCACUUAGUUCACAUAAACCCUGGAGAGCCAACCAGUGAGACCUCAAAGUCCAAUGUAAUUUGCAGGCUCAUGUAUCCCAAACUUCACUGCUCUCUUUCAAAUGGAAAAAAAUGAGGCAAAAUGAUCUGCUGUGGUUCCAGAAUCGGUGUACAGUCUUUGCCAUGGUGUGAAGAUCUUGUUUGGUUCUUGGAAGUAAAUGUACAUUCUAAUGUGUUGUUUAAUCUGUGCAGAGGUAUCUAAAUGCUUAAGAAAUGAGGUGGACGUCAUCCAAGUGUAAUUUGAGGGGAGCCGGUGGGA
rnacentral:lncRNA from 1 species